rnacentral:rRNA from 1 species
AUUGAACGCUGGCGGCAGGCCUAACACAUGCAAGUCGAGCGGAUGAGAAGAGCUUGCUCUUCGAUUCAGCGGCGGACGGGUGAGUAAUGCCUAGGAAUCUGCCUGGUAGUGGGGGACAACGUUUCGAAAGGAACGCUAAUACCGCAUACGUCCUACGGGAGAAAGCAGGGGACCUUCGGGCCUUGCGCUAUCAGAUGAGCCUAGGUCGGAUUAGCUAGUUGGUGGGGUAAAGGCUCACCAAGGCGACGGUCCGUAACUGGUCUGAGAGGAUGAUCAGUCACACUGGAACUGAGACACGGUCCAGACUCCUACGGGAGGCAGCAGUGGGGAAUAUUGGACAAUGGGCGAAAGCUUGAUCCAGCCAUGCCGCGUGUGUGAAGAAGGUCUUCGGAUUGUAAAGCACUUUAAGUUGGGAGGAAGGGCAUUAACCUAAUACGUUAGUGUUUUGACGUUACCGACAGAAUAAGCACCGGCUAACUCUGUG